GUCAUUUGUUUUAAAGCUAUUUCUUCGCUCAUUUGAUGUGCAUCCAAGGGCCCAUCUCAUCGACUAGGAUUUAAGAUUCAAACAGAACUACUCCCUUCCUGUUUCUUGUGUUAAUCUGGGUGAUCGAUCGUAUCUUUUGCCGUCUUUGUUGUCUACUGUAAUAUUCUUGAGCACAUGGACCUUUCAGUUAGUUGUUAUGUGUGCAUGAGUAUGUGAUUCUACUAGUACUGCUUUUGAUAGAUCUCAGAUUCUAAAUCCAGUCAGGUUUAUGUAUCUGUUAAACUUAGCCAAGAGUGCAACACCAAACUGGAUUGUUGAUCUUUGACGAAUUCAUGGUUGUGUGAAUGUGUGAAUUUUUUUUUUUGAAAAUGGAAGUUUUUAUUGAUCUCAAAGGUAUAUCGAGCGAUACAAUCAAAGAGUAUCACAACCCCGGCCUCUGCACCGAAGCACACACAGCCACACAAGUAUGGAACAAAUUUCAAUUAUUACAACGGAAAAAAAUAACUCUAAGCGGGCUCAAUCCGUAAACUAGACCGCCACCCAUUGUGGGUAAAAAAGUCCUUGGGCACUUGCUCCAAACUGUUGCACGCCAUCAAAGCCAACUGGUGACCCAUAAGCUUGAAGAGAGUAGAGAAAGUACGGAGCCAAUGAGUGCACGAAUAUAAGACCUG
rnacentral:lncRNA from 1 species